GGCGGGGUAGCUCAGUUGGUUAGAGCAGUGNNGUGGGUUCGAUCCCCACCCCCGCUACCA
rnacentral:tRNA from 1 species